AUGAGUAACGAAAAAGGAUAUUAUAUCCUCGCCUUAAGCUUAUGGUAUUUAAUUAAAAUUUCGGUGUCUAAGUAGGAAGAUAAAAGAGUAAACUGUCAUGAGUUUGAAAAACUUCUCCUAAUGGAUUUUUACGAUGAUAUAUUGAUUAGAGAAAAAAACCUUUAUAAAGUGUUAAAGGUUCUGGAAAUUAAAUCUAAUCCAAAACAUGUAGAGCGAACCCAAAUAACUCUAUUACAAAAAGAUAUAAGACCGUACCUAAAUACUAACACAAGUAAGCAAGUAGAGUAUACAAAGGCGUUUGAGCGAACAAUCCUUAAGGAACUCGGCAAAUUGCUCCGUAACUUCGGGAUAAGGAGAGCCGUUAUUAUAGAAAAAAAAAUUUUUUUUCUGUUAAAUAAGAGGAAACAUAAAAUAAUGUUGUACGACUGUUUAAUUAAAACAAAUCACUCUGCAAAGAUUAAAAAUCAAAGUAUUGAGUGUGAUGUCUGCCCAAUGUCGGUUGUAUAACUGAGAUGCUUAAUUUAAAAAGUUAAGUUUUGAAGGACACCCCGAUCAAUGGCGGUCUUAUCUAUAAGGAUCCUAAGGUAGCGGAAUACCUUGGCCGUUAAAUGCGGUCUUGCAUGAAUGACUUAACGAUACAACAGCUGUCUCGAGGAUUGGCUCAGUGAAAUU
rnacentral:ncRNA from 1 species